rnacentral:snRNA from 1 species
AGCUUUGCGCAGUGGCAGUAUUGUAGCCAAUGAGGUUUAUCCAAGGCGCGAUUAUUGCUAAUUGAAAACCUACCAAUUUCAUCAUGAUUCAAAAUCUAAACAGA